GGAUUAGAUACCCUGGUAGUCCACGCCGUAAACGAUGUCAACUAGCCGUUGUGUCCAUCUAAGGGCGCAGUGGCGCAGCUAACGCGUUAAGUUGACCGCCUGGGGAGUACGCCGGCAACGGUAAAACUCAAAGGAAUUGACGGGGGCCCGCACAAGCGGUGGAGCAUGUGGUUUAAUUCGAUGCAACGCGAAGAACCUUACCUACCCUUGACAUCCUCAGAACUUGUCGGAGACGACUCGGUGCCUUCGGGAACUGAGAGACAGGUGCUGCAUGGCUGUCGUCAGCUCGUGCUG
rnacentral:rRNA from 1 species